rnacentral:rRNA from 1 species
UGGGAAUCUGCCCUUAGGUACCGAAUAACUCAAAGAAAUUUGUGCUAAUACCGUAAGAUGUCCAAAGACCAAAGAUUUAUCGCCUAAGGAUGAGCCCACGUAUUAUUAGCUUGUUGGUGAGGUAAAAGCUCACCAAGGCGACGAUCUUUAACUGGUCUGAGAGGAUGAUCAGCCACACUGGGACUGAGACACGGCCCCCACUCCUACGGGAGGCAGCACUGGGGAAUAUUGGACAAUGGGCGAAAGCCUGAUCCAGCAAUGCCGCGUGACUGAUGAACGCCUUACGGGUCUAAAGCUCUUUUACUGCGGAUGAUAAUGACACUACCUGGAAAAUAAGCUCCGGCUAACUCCGUGCCAUCAGCCGCGGUAAUACGGAGGGAGCUAGAGUUGCUCGCAAUUACCGGGCGUAAAGAGUACGUCACGGUGAUUCAACUCAUAGGUGAAACCCUGGAGCUCACCUCCCGAACUGCCUUUGAAACUACAUCGCUAGAAUUGUGUAGAGGUUACUGGAAUUCGGAGUGUAUAGAUGAAAUUCCUAGAUAUUCUGAAGAACACCAAUGGCUAAAGUGACUAACUGGACACAUAUUGACGCUGANGUACGGAAUCGUGGGGAGCANAUUGGAUUCAUACCCUGGUCUCCGCCCCAAAACGAUGAUAACUAACUGUUUGGGGUCUACAAUCCUGAAUGGUGCAGCUAACGCUUUAAUCUUAUCCACUGGGGAGUACGCUCCCAAGAUUAAA